rnacentral:rRNA from 1 species
AUUGCCUCAGUAACGGCGAGUGAAGCGGCAACAGCUCAAAUUUGAAAUCUGGCUUCGGCCCGAGUUGUAAUUUGCAGAGGAUGCUUGUGCCCGGCCCGCCCAAAGUCCCCUGGAACCGGGGCGCCUCAGAGGGUGAGAGCCCCGUACGGGCGGGUUCCAAUUCUUGUGAAGGCCUUUCGACGAGUCGAGCAGUUUGGGAAUGCUGCUCUAAGUGGGAGGUAAAUCCUUCUAAAGCUAAAUACCGGCUGGAGACCGAUAGCGCACAGGUAGAGUGAUGAAAGAUGAAAAGUACUUUGAAAGAGGGUCAAACAGCACGUGAAAUUGUUGAAAGGGAAGCGCCCGUGGCCAGACUCGCGGCGGCUCGGUCACCCGCCUUCUCGCGGGUGACCCCGCGCUUGCAGGCCAGCACCGGCUUUGUGGCGGGGGGACAAUGGCUUCGGGAACGUGACUUUCUUCGCUGGAGUGUUAUAGCCCGGGGCGCAAUGCCCCUUGCGGGAGCCGAGGUUCGCGCUCUGCAAGGAUGCUGGCGUAAUGGUCCCCGGCGACCCGUCUUGAAACACGGA